UAUUUAAUUAGUGUGACGACCCGAAUUUUCACAAAUUAUUUUAUUAUUCUUAUUCAGGAUUAUUCGAGGAAAAUGAGGAAUGAAAUUCAAUAUUUUAUUCUAGUUUGAUAAUUUUCAAAAAUAUUGUUUAAAUUAUUUUCCUAGUCAUUGGGGUUAUGGGAAAAAUAUCUGCCGAUCGUGCAAUUAUCUGUUACGAGAUUUAAUUGAUUUAUUUGUGUACGAUUAUAUUUGUGUGUGCAUUUAUUUCUGCGUUUGAUAUUAUUAUAUUAAAUUUAUUACCCGCCUAAAUGAAUAUUUAUAUUUGUAAAAAUAUAAAGAUAAUUUGAUAAAUUGUUUUAAUUGCUCGAUAGUGAUCAUAAAUAUUUUUAGGAGUUUUUAAAAUAUUAAAAAAAAUCUUAUUUCUACAAGGACAUGAAUUUUAAUUAGUUUCUGGAAGCAGCUAAAUUCUAAAUUUUGUAUAAAUUUAUAAAAUGCUCUAUAAGUCCCAAAAAUUUUAUUUACUGGUUUUCUAAUAUUCUAGGAUUUAUAAAAAUAUUUCGGUAAUUUUUGGGAGAAGUUUUACUAAUAAGUUAUCUCCGUAAAUUAGUUAAAAGCGGGUAUAGGUUAAUUGGUGACUUGGUACAUGGCUUCUUUUGGGGUAUAACACGUAUGUACUCUUUCAUUCUCUUAAGCCACGUACACCAUUCCUCUGUCUUUCUCUUUUAAAACCCAUUAUAAUCACACCGCCUCUCCCCCCUCGACUUCUCCAGACUCCCGCACCAUUCUUCAACCUCCCGCAUCACUUCCCUCUUCUGUCCAAAUCAGGUGCAGCUCUAUCGGAUUCCUUUUCUGGCCGAUGAGUCCUGACGCCCCAACGCCGCUAUGUUUCCGGCAAUUAAGGAAUGGUCUCCACCUACUUGAAUUCAAUUUGAAUAGAUCAAGACGUGUAUAUCGAGAAUGUUCAGAAUUAAUCCGAUGGUGUUGCAAGUUGAAGCAAGAAUAAUCUGAGAUGACAGACGUAGAAAGAGUAUUGUCAGAAGCUGCUUAGAAAGAUAUGAUUGUGCGGUAUAGUGCUAUUAGAAUCGUGACUAGACGUCGGAGUUAAGGCAAGUAUUUCUACCCUUAGUUAAGAGUAAGCGAUUUUUAUCUUCUUCGUGACCCUGACCUCUCUUUCAUGACAUGAUUCAUUUUUAUCGUGACAUCAUUCUUGUGAAUCAUGUUUAGUAAUUGAAUACCUGCAGUUGAAUUGAUAAUACCUUUGACUCACUAUUUAAACUUUGAUUUUGAUAAAAGAUUUUCAAACUACUAAAAGUAGUAACUAUUUUGAUUUGCUACAAAAUAAAUUUGUUUAACAAGAAAAGCCACUUGAAUUCUUGAAUUUACCAAAUCAUGUUAAAGCUGUAGCUUUUAAAUUUAAUAUAUUGGGUAGUUUUGCGUAAGAGGCUCAGACAUCGGCCCAGCGUGAAAGGUGGCUCCUUUAGCCCGGAUUACCGGAAUUCGUAAUAUUUGUCAACCUUGCUGAAUAAGCUUGGUUUAUGGACUAUAGCAUGACUGAUCAUCUGUUAUAGCCAGGUGUCUUAUUUAAACCCAAUUAAAUAUUGAUUAGUUUCAAAGGAGAUUAUCUUAUGUUCAAAAGAUAAUGGAAGUUAUUUUUAUUUCUACAGCUUUAAAUUCAUAUAUUGAUGCAGAACUGUUUUAUCAUUGUUUACCAUUUUACUCUUUUAUACUGAACUGUUGGUUUACAACAUCAUGUUUAAUCCAGAGUUUACUUUCACUUCAACAUUCUGAUUCACUUAAAUAUAUAUAUCUUGUUGCUUCCACCUAUCAUAUUCUUGCUGAGCAUUAUUGCUCAUUCUUGCUAUUCCUUCUAACCUUUUUCAGCUAGGGAUAAAGAUGAUUCACUAAAGACUGCGCGUAAAGAGUAAUGAUAGGCAAUGAUUGCAAGUGGUUGAGUUCAGGAAAAUUGUUAGGUAGGGUAUCCGGGACGAUGUGAUUAAGACUAGAUGCAGUUGGAGUUCUGCAAUUCAAUUCAGUUGGAAAUGAGAUUUGUUUAUUUGGUUAUCAGCUACUCUUCUUAUCGAUGUUUAGCUGAUAAUGCAGUUUUAUUUGUAAUGAAAUUUGAUAGUUUUAGUUUCUGAUUUCAAUGCUGUAACCUGUAUGCGAUCCUGUUUUCAGGGGGUGAAUUUGAUUUUAAUUUAAAUCAUUUUUUUUAAAAAUAUCCAGGUUUUGAAAUAUUUGUAUUUACUUUCUUUCAAAGAUACAGGUUUUAAAUUGUUUUUCUUUCAGUGACUCAAAAAUACAGGUUUUAAAUUAUUUUUAUUUACACGUGGCACCAGAUCCAGACCCCCGGAUUUGAGGGAUGUCACAGUUGGUAUCAGAGCUACAGGUUAUAAGUUAUUGAAAUCAGAAUGUAGAUUGUAAUAAUAGGUUUGAUAAAAAGGAUUACGUGGUGUAACCUCACAUAGAGGUACCGUAAGACUAUUUGGGGAUAGUCUUUCUAAGCAGAAUAAAAUGGAGCUAGAUGAUUAAGUUUAACUGUUUAUAGUUAUAGACAUCACACUUCCUAAUUCUAGUUCUUCCAGUCCCUGGUAUAUUGACCAAUUUAGAGUUAAAUCAAUCUAAGAUGGUCGAAGUAAGACCUAUCAGCAGAACCUUCAAGCUAGAACCAGUUGAGGUCGGACCCGUAGAGAUUUCCACACAGUCUAAUAUAUCAUUUAUAGUAUAUGCCAAGUGUUGAGUAUUAUUUGGAGAGUCACCUUUUGAUUCUUGUCAGAGAUAUCUAGAAUUGGUGAAAGAAUAUAGGUGUUACCAAGUCUGAGUUUAAAGCUUUGUAAAUAGUUAAGUACUGAGAAUUAGAGCUACGUAGAAUUCGUGUUAGAUUCCUCGAUCCAGUACUUAUAAGCGAGUUAAGACGUCAACGCUAUAUGGUGAUAUUAUUGCAUAAAGUUGGAUAAGACUUCUGACCGGCAACGAUAUCAAUGAUGGGAUCUUCAAAGGCUAUUACUAGUCAACGAUAAUAUAUGCAAGUGAUCACUAGAACGUCAAGAAGAAUCACUAGUAUCAAAACGAGUCAUCAAAGGAAUCGAUCAAGAAGACAUCUGUGAGAAUCUUGGCAAUACCUUCCUCUUUGUUGAUUAUAUUGAUUACCUUCUUCAUCAAUGAAUUGUCUUGACAUCUUUUCCUAGAGAUGUUUGAUAAAGACUAUAUUUCUAUCUCUUGAGUUAUAAAAUGAUACUUGUGUCUAUUUUAUCAUUUCUAACUAAUCUUUUCAUUGAAACUAGCACCUUUGGAACUUAUUCAAUUUUUAACUCAAGGUGCGCAUCAAAGAUUCAUUCAUCAAAAGUCAAUCAUUCUUAAUUGAUUUUGAAAAUCUAUCAUAUCAUUCUACUCUAACUGAGAUGAACAACCCUACCUAUAGGGGACACAAGGACUACCAGUCUGUGUGAUAGGAGUUGGAUGGGACGCCAUCACUUGUGUGUGUUGUACAUUACAAGAAGGUUAACUACCUUUAGUAGUGUCUUAAUCUAGACACGCAACACUGAGUUCAUUAGAUCAUAUUGGUCUCUCAGUUAUCUCUAUUUCAAGUGAGAUUUAUUUAACACUCUCAUAAUCAUAUGACCACAAUCACGUGACAUUUGCUUCGAUAUAUGAAAUUUGGUCAUACUUUUAAAUCUUCAAGAUUCUCGUUAUCUCUAAUAGUUUGGAGGUAUGCCUACCAUGUUGCCAAUAUGAAUUGAGACUUUAUACCAGGAAGUACCAUGGAUAAAAGCGGAUGACAAUGCGGGUAUACGACAGCGAUUAAGAAAAUUGUUAUAUCAGAAAGGGGUAUUACAGAUUAUAGAGAUCGUAUGCUCUUGUUUGCUUUUCGCUGAUUCCGAGGACGGAAUCCUUUUAAGGGGGGUAGAUUGUGACGACCCGAAUUUUCACAAAUUAUUUUAUUAUUCUUAUUCAGGAUUAUUCGAGGAAAAUGAGGAAUGAAAUUCAAUAUUUUAUUCUAGUUUGAUAAUUUUCAAAAAUAUUGUUUAAAUUAUUUUCCUAGUCAUUGGGGUUAUGGGAAAAAUAUCUGCCGAUCGUGCAAUUAUCUGUUACGAGAUUUAAUUGAUUUAUUUGUGUACGAUUAUAUUUGUGUGUGCAUUUAUUUCUGCGUUUGAUAUUAUUAUAUUAAAUUUAUUACCCGCCUAAAUGAAUAUUUAUAUUUGUAAAAAUAUAAAGAUAAUUUGAUAAAUUGUUUUAAUUGCUCGAUAGUGAUCAUAAAUAUUUUUAGGAGUUUUUAAAAUAUUAAAAAAAAUCUUAUUUCUACAAGGACAUGAAUUUUAAUUAGUUUCUGGAAGCAGCUAAAUUCUAAAUUUUGUAUAAAUUUAUAAAAUGCUCUAUAAGUCCCAAAAAUUUUAUUUACUGGUUUUCUAAUAUUCUAGGAUUUAUAAAAAUAUUUCGGUAAUUUUUGGGAGAAGUUUUACUAAUAAGUUAUCUCCGUAAAUUAGUUAAAAGCGGGUAUAGGUUAAUUGGUGACUUGGUACAUGGCUUCUUUUGGGGUAUAACACGUAUGUACUCUUUCAUUCUCUUAAGCCACGUACACCAUUCCUCUGUCUUUCUCUUUUAAAACCCAUUAUAAUCACACCGCCUCUCCCCCCUCGACUUCUCCAGACUCCCGCACCAUUCUUCAACCUCCCGCAUCACUUCCCUCUUCUGUCCAAAUCAGGUGCAGCUCUAUCGGAUUCCUUUUCUGGCCGAUGAGUCCUGACGCCCCAACGCCGCUAUGUUUCCGGCAAUUAAGGAAUGGUCUCCACCUACUUGAAUUCAAUUUGAAUAGAUCAAGACGUGUAUAUCGAGAAUGUUCAGAAUUAAUCCGAUGGUGAUGCAAGUUGAAGCAAGAAUAAUCUGAGAUGACAGACGUAGAAAGAGUAUUGUCAGAAGCUGCUUAGAAAGAUAUGAUUGUGCGGUAUAGUGCUAUUAGAAUCGUGACUAGACGUCGGAGUUAAGGCAAGUAUUUCUACCCUUAGUUAAGAGUAAGCGAUUUUUAUCUUCUUCGUGACCCUGACCUCUCUUUCAUGACAUGAUUCAUUUUUAUCGUGACAUCAUUCUUGUGAAUCAUGUUUAGUAAUUGAAUACCUGCAGUUGAAUUGAUAAUACCUUUGACUCACUAUUUAAACUUUGAUUUUGAUAAAAGAUUUUCAAACUACUAAAAGUAGUAACUAUUUUGAUUUGCUACAAAAUAAAUUUGUUUAACAAGAAAAGCCACUUGAAUUCUUGAAUUUACCAAAUCAUGUUAAAGCUGUAGCUUUUAAAUUUAAUAUAUUGGGUAGUUUUGCGUAAGAGGCUCAGACAUCGGCCCAGCGUGAAAGGUGGCUCCUUUAGCCCGGAUUACCGGAAUUCGUAAUAUUUGUCAACCUUGCUGAAUAAGCUUGGUUUAUGGACUAUAGCAUGACUGAUCAUCUGUUAUAGCCAGGUGUCUUAUUUAAACCCAAUUAAAUAUUGAUUAGUUUCAAAGGAGAUUAUCUUAUGUUCAAAAGAUAAUGGAAGUUAUUUUUAUUUCUACAGCUUUAAAUUCAUAUAUUGAUGCAGAACUGUUUUAUCAUUGUUUACCAUUUUACUCUUUUAUACUGAACUGUUGGUUUACAACAUCAUGUUUAAUCCAGAGUUUACUUUCACUUCAACAUUCUGAUUCACUUAAAUAUAUAUAUCUUGUUGCUUCCACCUAUCAUAUUCUUGCUGAGCAUUAUUGCUCAUUCUUGCUAUUCCUUCUAACCUUUUUCAGCUAGGGAUAAAGAUGAUUCACUAAAGACUGCGCGUAAAGAGUAAUGAUAGGCAAUGAUUGCAAGUGGUUGAGUUCAGGAAAAUUGUUAGGUAGGGUAUCCGGGACGAUGUGAUUAAGACUAGAUGCAGUUGGAGUUCUGCAAUUCAAUUCAGUUGGAAAUGAGAUUUGUUUAUUUGGUUAUCAGCUACUCUUCUUAUCGAUGUUUAGCUGAUAAUGCAGUUUUAUUUGUAAUGAAAUUUGAUAGUUUUAGUUUCUGAUUUCAAUGCUGUAACCUGUAUGCGAUCCUGUUUUCAGGGGGUGAAUUUGAUUUUAAUUUAAAUCAUUUUUUUUAAAAA